rnacentral:lncRNA from 1 species
GCAGUGUAGCACUCGCGCCCUUGGGGGCUAGCGUUUGGCCGGAGCUACACACUCUUUACUCACGCACGCACACCGCCGUACACAGCACAAUCGUUCACCGUCCCGCCAAAGGCUCGUCUCUCGGGUUCUGCCUAGUGGAAGGAGUCGGACAACGCCGCACGUCACGGGCGUUUCGGAUUUCUUGCUUCCCAAAGGUUUGACGGCGGCCACCGGCGCCCCGGCCCAGCUCUGCUUUCCUUUGCUGACUCCUUCCUUUAGGUGUGAAUUUUAAAAUGCUGAUACCGCCCCAAGAGAGCUGAGUCAAGUGAGGCAAACGUUCGCCUGUUGUUCUCCUGACAGACUCCCUGCAGUGGGCAGGGGAAAUGUGGCCUUGGCCGACAUUAAUGAAGUGCCAGGAUGGAGGGAGGGGGCCUGCUGAUUUGUUCUGUUUUACUUUUUAAGGGUAACUAGAGCGUUACUGGAGUCGUCUGUGGGUUUGGGGAGUAUGUGGCGCGUGUGUGUGUCACACAUUUCACUGGCAACUCCCGCCAACCCCUUCCCAAGAAAUGAAGGCUCUAAUGUGGGCAGUUCUGCAACAAAGGUGAAACUUCCCCAAAUCACGAUUCCCCGCAAGAUGAGAGAGCAGGUGCAGCAUCCAUUUUCCCACUAUCACGCUUGAGAUGGUGGCUUUGGGCACUGCCGGGUGCCCCGACAUCCUUCCCAGAGCCCAGCCUUCCCACCCAGGCCCGGCCCUGCGCGGCCGCCUGCCUUUGCAUCAGAGACCGCGGCUGUGCCAUUGCCAAGGUGGGCAGCGCCGCCUCGCUUCCCCAUUCCUCCGUCUCCCACGCCUCUUGCGUGUUUGAGUCGCGAAGUGAUGGACUUUAAAUCUCAGAGGAGGAAUGAGAAACUUGGUUAGUGGCUCUCUUGGCAUGUUCGUAGCCCUGUGGUUGAAGUGGCUGAAACCUGCGUUGAGCCUCAGUCCAAGCAGCUGGGGCCACACCAGUUUGCAAAAGCGGAUGUGGCAGUUUCCACCGCAGCAGCAGCCUGCUGGCGCCUCAUCAGAUUCUCCUUUGGAGGAAGUAUCUUCUUCCCUUCAUUCUCGGUGAAUGGCAUCCAGAGAUAACCAAAAUCAGGUGUAUCUAGUUUCAAGUUCUGUCUUGCAACCGUGAUAAUUGGAGGAUGCAAACUUUACACUUUCUUCUCUAGCUGUCUACCACCACUGCUGCGCUUGUGGAUGACUGCAGGAACACCGGGUACUUGCCACAAGUAUCUCUCCAGAUUCAUCAGCCUUUCACCUGUGACAAGCUCAGUCAAGAAGUGGCUCCUAAGUAAAAGCUGGGGAAGAACAAGGAAGAUAGAGCUCAGAGUAGAAAGCUGUGAAGUUCUGCACAACAGGUCCCCUUGGCCUGCUCUAACAGUUGGAAGGUGGGGGAAGCAUUCAUUUACUCAACAAAUAUAUACUGAGUGCCUUUUGCAUGCUAGGCACGCUUCUAGGGGUUGAGGACACAGCAGAGAGCACAAACAACAAUUCCAGCCCUCGUGGAGCUUACCUCUUCCACGUGGGAAAGACAGAUGGUAAAUGUAUAAGGACAAUAUAUGGACUGCUGUAUGAUUAGAAAUGCUAUGGAGAGGCUAGGAGUGCUGUCUCAUGCCUGUAAUCCCGCAGUUUGGGAGGCCAAAGGAGGAGGAUCACUUGAGGCCAGAAGUUGGAGACCCAACCUGGGCAACAUAGCAUGGUAGCUCAUGUGGAAGCUUCCCGAGGCCCUCACCCAGAAGCAGAUGCUGGAGCCAUGCUUGUACAGCUUGCAGAACUAAAGCCCAGCUGGCUUGGUUCCAUGAAUCUUUGCCCUUCUUUCCAUCCACUUCUUCCUGCUUGGACAUUGGUUACCUGGAGAAGCAGAAGCCAUUUUAAGAUGAUGAAAGCAAAAGUUAAAUGUAUGAGAUGAUGGUGCAGAAAGCCAAAAGGGGCCUCCAGAACACUGAGCUUUGUGGAGUCGUGUACCAUAGCUGUAUUGCCGACCUCUGAACUUCCUGCUGAGAUAAAAAACAAUCCUUAUGUGUUUAUACUACUUUUAUUUCAGUUUCUUUUAAGUAUAGCAAACACAUUCCAAAUAAUAUGCAUCUGAAGUUUUUGGUUUUGUUUUUAAAUUUUUUUUUUAGGGAUGGGUUCUGGCUGCGUAGUGGCUAGAGUGUAGUGGCUAUUCUUAGGUGCGGUCAUAGCUCACUACAGCCUCUAACUGGCCUCAAGCAAUCCUCCCACCUCAGCUUCCAGGGUAGCUGGGAUUACAGGAGAGCACCACACUGAAGUUUCUGUUAAAUAGAAUGUUUGCUGUAGAUUUUUAGUUGAUGUCCUCUGUUAGGUUGAAAACCUUCCUUUAUUUUCUUGUGAAAUUUCUAAGAGAUUUUUAAAUCAUUAACUGGUAUUGAACUUUAUAAAAUGAUUUUUCUGUGUCUGAGAUGAUCAUGUGAUUAUUUUUCCUGUUUAUGUCCCUUGAUGUGAUGAUUUUUAUUGUAGAUCUUCCUUUAUUGAACCAAAUUUACGUUAUUUAUAUUAACCCUAUUUGAUUGUAAUAUAUUUUUAGUAGGGUAUUAGACUCUGUUACCUAACAUUUUACUUAGCAUUAUUUUGCAUCUAUGUUCAUAAGUAAAAUAGGAGUUUUUUUCUUUAUGUGACUAGGUAUCAACAUUAUAUUGGCCUUAUAAAUUAUGUUGAACACUU